rnacentral:sRNA from 1 species
UCUUUUCAAGAAGAUCAUUCUUAACAGCUCUCCAUUCCUUGCUGACACACAUGAACUUAGGGGCACUUCUGUUUUCCUGAGGGCUACACCGUUUUCUUUUGAAAGAGUCUGAACAACCCAGUCCUGCCAGCUCCAGCUCCAGCUCCAGCUCCAGCUUCACACCAUCCCAGACCAGGCAACAAGGUCCUUUGAGGUCUAUAAUGAAAGAUCUACAUUCUGAUGACAAUGAGGAGGAAUCAGAUGAAGUGGAGGAUAACGACAAUGACUCUGAAAUGGAGAGGCCUGUAAAUAGAGGAGGCAGCCGAAGUCGCAGAGUUAGCUUAAGUGAUGGCAGCGAUAGUGAAAGCAGUUCUGCUUCUUCACCCCUACAUCACGAACCUCCACCACCCUUGUUAAAAACCAACAACAACCAGAUUCUUGAAGUGAAAAGUCCAAUAAAGCAAAGCAAAUCAGAUAAGCAAAUAAAGAAUGGUGAAUGUGACAAGAUCGUGAACCUUAUAGAAGAAACUGGACACUUUCAUAUCACAAACACAACAUUUGAUUUUGAUCUUUGCUCGCUGGACAAAACCACAGUCCGUAAACUACAGAGUUACCUGGAAACAUCUGGAACAUCCUGAGGAUAUAACAACUGGAUGCAUCAAGAACUAUUGUGUUUUUUUUUUUUGGUUUUUUUUUUUUUUGGUUGUGAUUUUUUGUUCUUGUUGUUUAUAUGAAAACACUCAAAAUGAUGCAACCAAAAGGGAAAAAAUAAAAAUCAAACAACCUUCAGCUUUAUUUUUCUUUAAAGCCAGUCAUCAUCUCUUGAUAAAGGAGAGGUUAAAGCAAACCAGCCUCAGCGGACCACUCUUCUCUCCAAGGAAAUCCCCGGGAAGAGUUAGCCUGGAUAGCCUUGAAAACAAACAAAUCAAACACAACACAAGAAAACUCAAAGAAUGUGUAUGGUAUCAUGUAUCUCUCUGUGGUGGUUCAUUCCACAGGACGAAUGCAUAUUCAACACACUGCCUUAUUACAUAACUGAUCUAUUUAUUAUCGCAUACAGAUAUUCUAAGUCGUUGAGGGAAUGACACCAUCAGACAUUAUAAGUACUUGGUCCCGUGGAUGCUCUUUCAAUGCAGCACCCUUGCCAUCCCAAGCCCAGUGACCUUACUCGUAUACCGUGCCACUUUCCACCAACUUUUUCCAAGUCCUUUAACUCGUUGCAGUCUGUAUUUUCCACCUUUUGUUUUUCCAGUUCCAGGACACAGAUUAUCAACUGGGGGGACCAAAUAGCCACCUUGAUUUUCUUCUUUGUGGUCUUUUUCCUGAAAGUUGGGGCCCAGUCCUUGGCUGUAUCCAUGUAAUGAUCUUGGACCAUGGUAGAAAAUGCACCAAAUAGGAUCAUAUGAAUUGCUGUCUAGCCUUAGUCAAUAAACUUGUAGGACUUUUAAACAAAAGUGUACCUGUAAAUGUCCUGAAUCCAACAUUGUUGAGCUGUCAUCAACAUUCUUGUGUCUGUUUUACUGUUACAAUAUUAGGUGAAUAUGGAAGUAAAGGCAUUCCACAGGAUCAUCGUUUAAAAAAAAAGAAUUCUGGUCCUGUUUUCUAAAAAAAAAAAAACUGUUGUAGAAAUUCUUAAUUUGGAUCUAUUUAUUAGUCAGAGUUUCAGCUUUCUUCAGCUGCCAGUGUGUUACUCAUCUUUAUCCUAAAAAUCUGGAAUCAGAGAUUUUUGUUUGUUCACAUAUGAUUCUCUUAGACACUUUUAUAUUUGAAAAAAUUAAAAUCUUUCUUUGGGGGAAAAUUCUUGGUUAUUCUGCCAUAACAGAUUAUGUAUUAACUUGUAGAUUCAGUGGUUCAAUACCUGUUUAGUUGCUUGCUAAUAUUUCCAGAAGGAUUUCUUGUAUUGGUGAAAGACGGUUGGGGAUGGGGGGAUUUUUUUGUUCUUGUUGUACCCUUGUUUUGAAACUAGAAAUCUGUCCUGUGGCAUGCAAAAGAAAGCAAAUUAUUUU